UUACGGGUCGUGCAGUGAGGAAUAUUGCACAAUGGAGGAAACUCUGAUGCAGCAACGCCGCGUGGAGGAUGACGCAUUUCGGUGUGUAAACUCCUUUUAUAUGUCAAGAAAAUGACGGUAGCAUAUGAAUAAGCACCGGCUAACUCCGUGCCAGCAGCCGCGGUAAUACGGAGGGUGCAAGCGUUACUCGGAAUCACUGGGCGUAAAGGACGCGUAGGCGGGUUGGAAAGUCAGGUGUGAAAUCCUACAGCUUAACUGUAGAACUGCACUUGAAACUUCUAAUCUAGAGUAUGGGAGGGGAGAUGGAAUUAGUGGUGUAGGGGUAAAAUCCGUAGAUAUCACUAGGAAUACCUAAAGCGAAGGCGAUCUCCUGGAACAUUACUGACGCUAAGGCGUGAAAGCGUGGGGAGCAAACAGGAUUAGAUACCCUAGUAGUC
rnacentral:rRNA from 1 species